UAAUACGUAGGGUGCAAGCGUUAAUCGGAAUUACUGGGCGUAAAGCGUGCGCAGGUGGUUUUGUAAGACCGACGUGAAAGCCCCGGGCUCAACCUGGGAACUGCGUUAGUGACUGCAAGACUAGAGUGUGGCAGAGGGGGGUGGAAUUCCGCGUGUAGCAGUGAAAUGCGUAGAGAUGCGGAGGAACACCGAUGGCGAAGGCAGCCCCCUGGGCUAACACUGACACUCAUGCACGAAAGCGUGGGGAGCAAACAGG
rnacentral:rRNA from 1 species